rnacentral:rRNA from 1 species
AUUGAACGCUGGCGGCAGGCCUAACACAUGCAAGUCGAACGGUAGCACAGAGAGCUUGCUCUCGGGUGACGAGUGGCGGACGGGUGAGUAACGUCUGGGAAACUGCCCGAUGGAGGGGGAUAACUACUGGAAACGGUAGCUAAUACCGCAUAACGUCGCAAGACCAAAGUGGGGGACCUUCGGGCCUCACACCAUCGGAUGUGCCCAGAUGGGAUUAGCUAGUAGGUGGGGUAAUGGCUCACCUAGGCGACGAUCCCUAGCUGGUCUGAGAGGAUGGCCAGCCACACUGGAACUGAGGCACGGUCCAGACUCCUACGGGAGGCAGCAGUGGGGAAUAUUGCACAAUGGGCGCAAGCCUGAUGCAGCCAUGCCGCGUGUAUGAAGAAGGCCUUCGGGUUGUAAAGUACUUUCAGCGGGGAGGAAGGCGGUGAAGUUAAUAACUUCACCGAUUGACGUUACCCGCUGAAGAAGCACCGGCUAACUCCGUGCCAGCAGCCGCAGUAA